rnacentral:rRNA from 1 species
AUUGAACGCUGGCGGCAGGCUUAACACAUGCAAGUCGAGCGGGGUGAUGGUGCUUGCACUAUCACUUAGCGGCGGACGGGUGAGUAAUGCUUAGGAAUCUGCCUAUUAGUGGGGGACAACAUCUCGAAAGGGAUGCUAAUACCGCAUACGUCCUACGGGAGAAAGCAGGGGAUCACUUGUGACCUUGCGCUAAUAGAUGAGCCUAAGUCGGAUUAGCUAGUUGGUGGGGUAAAGGCCUACCAAGGCGACGAUCUGUAGCGGGUCUGAGAGGAUGAUCCGCCACACUGGGGCGGAGACACGGCCCAGACUCCUACGGGAGGCAGCAGUGGGGAAUAUUGGACAAAGGGGGGAACCCUGAUCCAGCCAUGCCGCGUGUGUGAAGAAGGCCUUAUGGUUGUAAAGCACUUUAAGCGAGGAGGAGGCUCUUUUGGUUAAUACCCAAGAUGAGUGGACGUUACUCGCAGAAUAAGCACCGGCUAACUCUGUGCCAGCCGCCGCAGUAA